UACGUAGGGACCGAGCGUUGUCCGGAUUCAUUGGGCGUAAAGAGCUCGUAGGCGGCUGCUCAAGUCGAAUGUGAAACCUCGAGGCUCAACCUCGAGCCUGCAUUCGAUACUGGGCGGCUAGAGUCUGGUAGGGGGAUCUGGAAUUCCUGGUGUAGCGGUGGAAUGCGCAGAUAUCAGGAGGAACACCGGUGGCGAAGGCGGGAUCCUGGGCCAGUACUGACGCUGAUGCGCGACAGCGUGGGGAGCAAACCGG
rnacentral:rRNA from 1 species